CGGCUGAGGUGGGAACUUCAAUUCAAUGAAGUACAUCUCACCCACAAUAGGUUGAGUUGCGUUGAGAAAUUCAGGUUGAAUUCCAUUGAAAAAUCACUCCCAAUAUGAGUCUCUUCGUGAAUUCUUCAAAAUUAAAUCCACAAUACAUUGAGUUGCGUCGAAAAAUCACUUCCAACAUGAAUCUCUUCCUGAAUUCUUCAAAAUUAAAUUGUAAGUUUUCCUCUUCAUUGUAUCUCCCUUAUGUGUCAUGAUGUUAUAUCCAUUUAUGUUUUGAUUCUUAAUCUUUAUAUGUCAAAAUGUGAGUUAAAAAAUUAUCUAAUUGAAUUGAUUCACCAGAUCUUUCAUCUACGAAAAUGGAAGAGAUGUCUAUUAAGGUUGGCUUCAUGAAAUCAAGAAAGGAAAUAAGUUUAACGAACAUAGAGAUGGAAAAAGAUAGAUUUUGCCCAAACACAUGAUUCCAGUUUAAUUUUAGUUUUAGUUAUAGUAUCUGGAUUUUCAUAUAAGUUUAUUUGACUGAUGCUAAAAUGAAAUUAAAUAUUUUAAAUCAUAAUUUUUUUAUGUAAAUCCAAAAGUCUCUUUUAACCUUGAAUAAAUGGUCAAAUCAGCAUUAAAUGAAGAGUAUGAAAUUCAUUUUUUUCCCCAAUCUGACUAUAAAGAAAAGAGUGGGCAUUAAUUUCAUCAACUUUAAGUAUCAUCGAUAAAAUAUUUAUUAUAAGUCUGUAGACUAAAUUUAUUAUAUAAGUCACUUAAUUUUCUAUAUGCUUAGAAUAUUCUAAGGUCUUUCAAGAAUUCUUCCUAGAUAUUCUAGUAGUAUUUCCAAGAAACUCUCUAUUGCUCAAGAAUCUUCCCACAAUUGCUUAUCAAGUAAGCUUUCACAUAUACAACUUUAUACCACGUGGUGCCUAUGUGGUGGAUAAUCACACUCUCCCACACCAGAUGUUGUGACGACUGCGGCGUAUUGCUGCUACAUAAAUUUUCUCAAAUCUUAUCUUUGAAUUAUCACAAGUCUUCAUACCACUCCCAUGUGGCUUCUUCUGGUGAUUGUCCCUUCCAAUGGAUGAGGAACAUGGUGGUAUCUUGUUGACCUUGCUUUCGCCUAGCCUGAUAUAUAGUCAUUGUAUUCUCAAUCGUGCAAGACGGUGAUAGUAAAAGGCGCAUGACUCGAUUGUCCUUUGUUUGGGUCAUUCUUGUUUUCGUAGUAUGGCUUAAGCAUGUUGGCAUUGAAGACAUGAUGAAUCUUAAGGUGUGGAGGCAUGUCAAGUUUGUAUGCGAUCUUUUUCCACCUUAGAAAGGAUUUUAAAUAGGCCCUCAUAUUUGCGAAAUAGAUUGUGGUACAUGCCUCAUAGUGUCUUAAACUGUUAGGGUUAAACUUCAUCAUGACCAUGUCCCCAACUCUAUAGUCCGUGAAACACCUCUUGCGGUCUACAAAUUUCUUCAUCUACUUAGCUGUCUUGUUCAAGUAGGACUUAGUCGUG
rnacentral:lncRNA from 1 species